AAGAGAGAGAGAGAAGAGAAGGGAGAAAACGACAGAGGGAAGGCGAGAAAAGAGAGACAAAGCAAACAGAAGAAACAGAAAUAGAUGCCAGAAUUAAAAAGUUAUAUAUAAGGUUAGAGAGUAAAACAAAGUAAAACGUUACAUAUAACGUUAGAAUGUUCAACCUGUCCAUCACAAACGUAAUUUUGCUUACGUAUAACCAACGGCCUCACAGUCGUAUUCUG